UGAAUUGCGGCUUUAAAUGUCCGUGGCUCAACCGAUAACUGUUAUUACACCGGCCCUUUGUGAUGUUAAAAUAGUGCGCUGCAAAUAGAUGAACAAAAGCAGCAGGUGCGUUGAACCAGACCCUCGUUGACCCCCCCCCCCCCUCCGGCUUAACAGUGUCGAACCAUGACAACGGCCGUGUACGACUCGUGUCUUCGGUGCUUUGUUCAUAUACAGCACAUAGGAUGUCUUACCCAAAGUCAUUCUUGAUCACUCCCCCCCCCCCCAAUCUGCACCGGUUUCACCAGCCCCUCAUCUCUGUCUGACCAGGAAAAACUGCACCUACUUUUAGUCUACAGCCUUUUUCUCCUCUCUCUCUCUCUCUGAAUGAGAUUUAUUCUUUAAAUCAGCGUUUUAAAAGAUUUUUUGUUUUUAUUUUGUUAUGCCGUUUACAUGACAAGCCUAUUAUAAGUUGUGCCUGACUCCGGGAACGCGAGCGAACGUCUUAAUUUCUUUCUCGCUCUCAAAUGAACUUGAAUUGAUUUACAUGUUUUCAUUGGAAGCAAUAGUUUGACAUUUAGCAUUUGCUGUGAAAAGAGAUUUAUUUUUUAUUCAUUUUUUGCUGGGACGGAGGGUUUAAUCAUUCUCUGGGAUUUUCAAUAGCUCAAACUUAAUGGCACAUCUCCCCUGAAACUUUUGGAUUUCUCCUCUCGUUAAAGCCAUUUUUUUUUUUUUUUGCCUUUACAAAAACUAAAAUCCUAAACGAGAGCUCAAGCUCACUACCUACAGACAUCACUUCCACUUCCUGACACAACAUCAGCUUGUGCGCUUACCGGUUAUAUGAAUAAAGAACGGGGUAUGCCUGUGUGCGAGUCACAGGUGAACAGGGAAGGAUUGCCCCCCCCCCACCCCCCUCUCCCGCCUCUAUCCCGCCCCCUCGCCUUUGGAUCAUUAGCACAGUUUCUCAAUGUUUUGCUGUGAAGUCAUAUUGCAGUAAUUCCCACCUUACAAGACGCAGCUGCCUACUUUGUGAUAGAGAGUUGGUUUAUGAAGCAAACACACAUUCACGCCACGCUAUCAGGCUCAAAUUAGCUGGUCUCCUCCCCCACACACACACACGUACACGUCUCCAUGGCGAUGAAGGCCAGGGUGGUAUGUGGCUUGAGCCCACACACACACACACACACACACACACACACACACACACACACACAGAAGCUUCAAACAUUCUUUGAAACCUCUUCAGGAGUGCAUCCUCAAGUAACAUUUGCAGCUGCUUUCACUUCUCCAUAUAUUUCCUUUCUUGUCGCUCUAUUUCUCCAGACAUGGAAAAUGUUUAUGAAAACCAAACUGAGAUGAAAAUGAUCCUCCCUCCAUGUGCUUUUGCCUCGUGAGUACUCAGAAAACAGAUCUAAUAAUACUAGAGCGUGUGGGCGACCGGAGUUGUGGUUCUUGAAUUUAAAUGUGUACAGAGAAGAUUUUGAAAUAAAAAUCUGUAAAUAGAAAAUGUAAAUAAAUCCUAUAUAUGAC
ensembl:lncRNA